rnacentral:lncRNA from 1 species
UUAUAAAAUGAAGAUUAUUUGAUUUUCAACCCUAAUGUCAUCUGACUGGAUUAAUGAGUUGAUGUAGCACGCUGACUGUGUAGUGAGUGAAGUGGCAUUGACACAUCAUAUUUUUUAUUUUUAAAAGUAUGUUAAAAAUGUGAAAUACCAAAAAUACCCUUAAUGAUAAAUUAAAAAAUUCAAUUAUUUUCCUUUAUCUUCUUCUUCAGCGGGUAUCACCUUCUCUCUUUUUCCCUCAUUGUUCUUCAUUCUCUUCUCCAGAUCUCAUCCUUAUUUAUUCUUCCUUCUAUUUUUUUUUUUACAAAAAUUCUUUUCUAUUUUUGUUUUUUCCAUUUAAAUUUCCUCUCUCUCUCUCUCUCUCUUUCUUCCUUUUUUUUUUCUUUUUCUUUUUUCUUCUCUUCUUUCCCACCUUUCUCUUCUAUGUUUCUGUUCUUCCUUCUCUUAUCUCCCACCUUCUCUUUCUGGGUUUGAUUCAAGCUGAUUGGAACAGAAUUCAAAUAGAAGAAGGGUUGGAUUCAAGCUGAUUUGUUUUCUGGGUUUGAUGCUCGCGUUGUUGUUGUUGUGCUUACUGUGGAUUGUUGUUGUUGCUUUGAUUUGAGAGGAAAGGAAAGGAGAUUUGUUGGGAGUUUGUUUUUAUUGGGAAAAAGAUGUUGUAUUGUGUUUCUGUUAUGUUGGCUUUGUUGUGCUGUUCUUGUAUGUUUAAUUGAUUUGGAGUUUAAGUCUCAUGGAAGCAAAGAGAUUGAAGGGAGGUGGAGUAAGAGAGUAAGAAAAAAAAAAUCUGGAAAAUUGAUGAUAGAAGAAUGAGAUAAUGAGGAAGAAGAUGAAGAUAUGAUGUUUUGAAUUUUUUUUAAUGUAAUUGUUAAUUAAUAAAAAAAAAUGUAGGUGGAAAAUAAAUAAAUGGAAAAAUAAAAUAAAAAGCCAACUCAUCAUGUCAACUAAGCUAAUUUGUACAAUCAUACAUGUUUAGGGGUGAAAAUUAAAGAAUCUUUUAAUGCAAGGGGGAAUCUCCAAGUUUUUUUUCCGUAGGGAGGUAAACCAAAAGGCGCUCAUAUGACAGGGGGUAAAAGUCAUUUAACCCUUUAAAAUAUUUUCAUUUUACAUGGGUAUAAAUCAGUUUUUUGCAAAGACUUAUAAUAAUUAUUUUUGCUAUAUUUGAAAAAGAUUAAAUGAAAUAGAUCUUGACAAAAAAAAAAAUGAAAUAGAUGAUGAGUUCUUCCAAAUAACUAUGUUUCUAGCCGGUUUGAUAU